rnacentral:tRNA from 1 species
CAGAGGAUAGUUCAAUUUAUGAUCUUAGCUUUGGGAGUUAAGGAUGGAAGUUAAAGUCUUCCUCCUCUGA